CGCGUAGGCGGCGCGUUAAGUCAGGUGUGAAAGCCCUGGGCUCAACCCAGGAAUUGCACUUGAUACUGACGUGCUUGAAUCCGGAAGAGGAUGACGGAAUUCCCAGUGUAGAGGUGAAAUUCAUUGAUAUUGGGAAGAACACCAGUGGCGAAGGCGGUCAUCUGGUCCGGUAUUGACGCUGAGGCGCGAAAGCGUGGGGAGCAAACAGGAUUAGAUACCCUGGUAGUCCACGCCGUAAACGAUGAGUGCUAGACGUCGGGGGGUUGCCUCUCGGUGUCGCCGCUAACGCAUUAAGCACUCCGCCUGGGGAGUACGGCCGCAAGGUUAAA
rnacentral:rRNA from 1 species